rnacentral:lncRNA from 1 species
GAGUUACCAGGGAAACAAUAAACAGUUAUAGGCAAUGCCUUGUUUCUCACCACGUUCUCUAAACCUUUUCAGUUUGUCUUUUAGCAUUGUUGAACUGAAAAGGUCAUUGAGACUUUACUUCAUGUCUAAAUGGUUCUAAAAAUUCCCCAGGGUUCCAAGACUUGCUGUGGACUAGAACUGCAAUCAGUAGAGGUAUAGAAACUGUCAGUUGCUGGAACAGGAUCCGUUUGGAAUAAGGCAGAUAAAUGCACUAAGAGACUGCUGAGAACUGAUUGGGCAUCAAGACACUGAACUGUAGAAAAUAAUGGAGCCUGACUGUGAGAACUGUCUGUAUUCAAACAUGUUAAGAGCUGAAUAUUUAAAAUUUGUUUGGCUCACCAAGCUUGGCUUUCUGAAGACAACAGAAGUGGGAUAGAGAGAUCAAAAAGAAAAAAAAAAUCAUAAAAGUAUUGCUAAACAAUCAAAUGCAAGGUAUUUUGUCUUCUUUCACUCCUUAAAAGAAAAUCAAUCAAUUAAUACACAAAGAUAAAAGUGAGAAACCUACUGUAAUCUACUAAGGUCCAGGAAUUUAAAGAAUCAAAUGUACCUUCUGGGUUUCGGAAUCCAUCGGGGAGAAUGUAGAGGGUGAUGAGAAGACUUUGCAUUUGACCAAAAAGCACUAGUAAAUAAGGAGUUAAAAUGAAGGCAGGCUCGCUGGUUUGCUGAGAUCUGUCAGAGUCUGACUGGCUGGCUACAUAUCUGUCUCUGGAACAAUAGGUACCUGUAUUCUGCACGGACUGCUGGGCAGCACUAGCACUCUGGAGAAGGUCUGCCGCUGUCUGCACUUUCCUGGUGAGAAUCCCCAAUGACAGUCCCACUU